UCUGAGUGAGAAUGUUCCAGGAUUCUGCCUGCUGUACUUUUCAGCUCAUCCUGAUCAGGAAAAAGGAGGGAAAAAUGAGGAACUAAUUGAGAUAUCCCUAGAGAAGUUCUUAGUAUUCGAAGCUUUCCAUUUUUGCAAACUACCUGACAUUUAUAGCCACAGUCUCCUCAAAUGAAUGAGAAUCUAGAGGUCAUGGUUAUGUCAUAAGGGUCUCGUCUCAGGAAGAGGUUCCAGCGAACUGAACUGGCCAAAUGACUUUUAAGCCAGCACCCUCAUGGCCUUCAGCAUCCUCCUACAGGAAGUGGUGUAACCCAACAUCCUGAGCACAGACAUGCUAUAACAUGUGCAGGUAAUGGAAUGAGAAGAGGAGAGGCUGUACUGUGUUAUGUGGCAGCAUCCCCUUUUCAGAAGGCACAGUCAGCACAUGGUACUGUCACCCAUCAACUUCCCGAGGACCUUCUCUGCAGCAGGGAUGCCACUGCUGACUCUGCCCCAAGUCCUGGGCAGCCAUCUCCCAUGAACUUUCUCCCUGUGGCUUUCUGCACCCUGUUGCUACCACAAGCCACCAAGGAAGCCAGAGAAACACUGCUGUACUUUAAAGGAUGUGCUAAUAUGCGGGUUCAUGUCACUGUGCUGGUACAGGGUUGACAACCAAUUUAUAUGCUAAAUACAAGGCAAAGACACACUGUAACACCCAGAGGAAAUGAGCUGACUGGAAUGUGGUGUGCCUGGAGUUUAUGGUGGCACCCAUCGAGCAGAGAGCUUUCAGUUACCCUGGCUAAUAGAGCAAAUGCUACAGAAUAAUGAUAAAGAUGCUCUGGACCACACACUAAAAUAUUUACAGGAUGUUAAGGGAAGUCCCUCUUUCUGAGUAUACUACUUGAAUACACUCAUCCUUCACAUAUAAAAUGCAGUAAACUAUACAAUUCUGUACAGGAACAAACUGGCCUUGCAUAACCACCUCCACUUGCAACAUUUUCCAUUCCUUCCACUGACUGACUUUAGUCUAGGAUGUUGGUCCAAGCUCCAGAACUUCACGGUGAUAAGCUGAGGGGUGGCCCCUCAGAGAUUCCCACAUCCUGAUCCCAGGAACCUGUGGAUAUGUUAUGUUGCUUGGCAAAAUAGACUUUGCAGAUGGGAUUAAGUCAAAAUUCUUGCGACAGGGAGAAUAUCUUGAAUCGUCUGGGUGGGCCAUAUAAUCACAAGAGUCCUUAUAAGAAGGAGACAGGAAGGUUAGAGUAGGAGGGAGAUGUGACCAUGGAAGUAGAGGUCAGAGUGUCCAGGACUGUCAGCCAAGAAAUGCAGUCUCUUGCAGCUGGAAAAGGCAAAGAAAGGAUUUUAUCCUAGAUUCUCCAGAAGGAAUGCAGCCAUGCAGACCCAUUUUAGAGCUGUGUUGCUAUAAGCCAGUGAAUUUGUGGUGAUUUGUUUUAUCAGCCUCAGGAAGCUGAUACAUCAGAGUAGGGUAUGCAGGGCAUUCUGUACUGUCUGUACUAGCAAGCUGUAAAUGGGCAUAGACAUCAAAAUAGCAAUACAAUUCUUACCAGCUCCUAAUCAUAUGAAUUACACAGAAAAUGAAUAAAAGUAACAACAGCCAAGUAGAGAUUUAAACUCUCUUAUAUUAGUUUUUGGGAUAUUUUUAAAAAGUAAUUUCUGAUCUUAGGCUCCAA